GGCUCAGGAUGAACGCUAGCGGCAGGCUUAAUACAUGCAAGUCGUGGGGCAGCGCAGUGUAGCAAUACAUGGGCGGCGACCGGCAAACGGGUGCGGAACACGUACACAACCUUCCUACAAGUGGGGAAUAGCCCAGAGAAAUUUGGAUUAAUACCCGUAACAUAUAAAGAUGGCAUCAUUUUAUAUUAUAGCUACGGCGCUUGUUGAUGGGUGUGCGGCUGAUUAGGUAGUUGGCGGGGUAAUGGCCCACCAAGCCUGCGAUCAGUAGCUGAUGUGAGAGCAUGAUCAGCCACACGGGCACUGAGACACGGGCCCGACUCCUACGGGAGGCAGCAGUAAGGAAUAUUGGACAAUGGGCGCAAGCCUGAUCCAGCCAUGCCGCGUGAAGGAUUAAGGUCCUCUGGAUUGUAAACUUCUUUUAUAAGGGACGAAAAAGGGAAUUCUUUCUCACUUGACGGUACCUUAUGAAUAAGCACCGGCUAACUCCGUG
rnacentral:rRNA from 1 species